rnacentral:rRNA from 1 species
UACGUAGGGUGCGAGCGUUGUCCGGAAUUAUUGGGCGUAAAGAGCUUGUAGGCGGUUUGUCGCGUCUGCUGUGAAAAUCCGGGGCUCAACCCCGGACUUGCAGUGGGUACGGGCAGACUAGAGUGUGGUAGGGGAGACUGGAAUUCCUGGUGUAGCGGUGAAAUGCGCAGAUAUCAGGAGGAACACCGAUGGCGAAGGCAGGUCUCUGGGCCUCUACUGACGCUGAGAAGCGAAAGCAUGGGGAGCGAACAGG